rnacentral:rRNA from 1 species
CUACGGGGUGCUGCAGUGAGGAAUUUUGCGCAAUGGGGGCAACCCUGACGCAGCAACGCCGCGUGAGUGAAGAAGGCCUUUGGGUCGUAAAGCUCUGUCAACAGGGAAGAAGUUACUUCAUAUUAAUAGUAUGUAGUAUUGACGGUACCUGUGGAGGAAGCAUCGGCUAACUCCGUGCCAGCAGCCGCGGUAAUACGGGGGAUGCAAGCGUUAUUCGGAAUCAUUGGGCGUAAAGGGCACGCAGGCGGCUCUGUCAGUCAGAUGUGAAAGCCCGGGGCUCAACCCCGGACGUGCAUUUGAAACAGCAGAGCUUGAGUACGGUAGAGGAAAGCGGAAUUCCUGGUGUAGAGGUGAAAUUCGUAGAUAUCAGGGGGAACACCGGUGGCGAAGGCGGCUUUCUGGACCGAAACUGACGCUGAGGUGCGAAGGCGUGGGUAGCGAACAGGAUUAGAUACCCCUGUAGUC